GAUGAACGCUGGCGGCGUGCUUAACACAUGCAAGUCGAACGGAAAGGCUCCUGCUUGCAUGGGUACUCGAGUGGCGAACGGGUGAGUAACACGUGGGUGAUCUGCCCUGCACUUCGGGAUAAGCCUGGGGAACUGGUUCUAAUACCGGAUAGGACGAUGGGUUUGAUGCCAUUGGGGAAAGUUUUUCGGUGUGGGGUGUGCUCGGGGCCUAUCAGCUUGUUGGGGGGGUAAUGGCUUACCAUGGGGUCGACGGGUAGCCGGCAUGGGAGGGGGUACGGGCACAUUGGGCCUGAGGUAGGGCCCAGACUCGAACGGGAGGCAACGGUGGGGACUAUUGCACAGUGGGCGCACGCCAGAUGAAGAGACGCCGCGUGGGGAAUGACGGCCUUCGGGUUGUAAACUCCUUUCGCUAGAGACGAAGCGCAAGUGACGGUACCUGGAGAAGAAGCACCGGCCAACUACGUG
rnacentral:rRNA from 1 species